GUGCCAGCCGCCGCGGUAAUACGUAGGGGGCUAGCGUUGUCCGGAAUCAUUGGGCGUAAAGCGCGCGUAGGCGGCCCGGUAAGUCCGCUGUAAAAGUCAAAGGCUCAACCUUUGAAUGUCAGUGGAUACUGCCGGGCUAGAGUCCGGAAGAGGCGAGUGGAACUCCUGGUGUAGCGGUGGAAUGCGCAGAUAUCAGGAAGAACACCGACGGCGAAGGCAGCUCGCUGGGACGGUACUGACGCUGAGGCGCGAAAGCGUGGGGAGCGAACAGGAUUAGAAACCCUAGUAGUCC
rnacentral:rRNA from 1 species